rnacentral:rRNA from 1 species
UACGAGUGCCCCAAGCGUUAUCCGGAAUCAUUGGGCGUAAAGGGUGUGUAGGCGGUGUUAUUAGUCUCUUGUUAAAUUCUUCGGCUUAACCGAAGACAUGCAGGGGAAACGGUAACACUAGAGGAUGCGAGAGGUUAGCGGAACUCAUGGUGUAGCGGUGAAAUGCGUUGAUAUCAUGGGGAACACCAAAAGCGAAGGCAGCUAACUGGAGCACUCCUGACGCUGAAACACGAAAGCGUGGGGAGCGAAUGGG